rnacentral:rRNA from 1 species
AUACGGAGGGUGCAAGCGUUAAUCGGAAUUACUGGGCGUAAAGCGCGCGUAGGCGGUUUAAUCAGUCGGAUGUGAAAGCCCCGGGCUCAACCUGGGAACUGCAUUCGAUACUGUUAAGCUAGAGUAUGGUAGAGGGAAGUGGAAUUCCAGGUGUAGCGGUGAAAUGCGUAGAUAUCUGGAGGAACAUCAGUGGCGAAGGCGACUUCCUGGACCAAUACUGACGCUGAGGUGCGAAAGCGUGGGGAGCAAACAGGAUUAGAUACCCUAGUAGUCC